AAAUUUAUGAAUUGUAAUUAUAAAUUCAUAAAUUCAAUAUUGAAGUAUAAAAUAAUUUUAAUAAAUCUUACACAUUUUGUCAGAUGAAAUACAAUCUGCAGUUUUGCUACAAAUUAAUAACAAGUUAUUACAAUCACUAUUAAUAAAGGCAUGAUUAUUCUUAAUGUCUUACCAUGGUGAUAAUGUGUAAAUCCUACGUUCCAAGAAAGCUAAGCCUUCAUCAGGAUCUUCAUAUCUAUAUUCCUCUUGUACACUGAUAUAUGACUGUGAUUUGAAACUGUCGAAAGCAAUUAAUUUAUCGGACUUAAAAUACUAAAUACGUUUAUCAUAAAAUUUAAAGAAGAUAAGAUGUAAAGAAGAAAAACGUAAUAAUGUAAGAAAGGUGAUAAAAACAGUUCAAAACGAUUAGCAUAGAUAGAAUCCGCCAAAUGAAAGAAAAAUGUUCUGAUAAACAUGAUUUGAAAAAUUAAUAUCUUCUGGGUUACAAACAAUUUUACGUUUUGAUUAAAGCGAGUGACUUUAAAUUUUUCUAUCACGUACAGAUAUCCUUCGUACAACACAGUACUCCUACAACACAAAUUCGUUCUAACAUCGUUCGAGGAUUUUGGAAAUCCCUGUACGGAACGGCACGUAAUGGUAUAUCAUUCGAUAUUUUUCAUUUGAGCAGGCGUAUAUAUUGUCUCAUAUUUACCAUUUAAUAAGUAAUGUUGUCACCUCUUAUAAGCGGAGGUUUUAUCUUAUUUCUCUAUCUUUUUAUGUUACAUUAUAUAAUAAUAAUUAGUACUAUUUUUUAUUAAUUAUAUUAAUAAUUAAUUAUUAAUUCUUCUUCUUCUUCUUCUAAUAACGCUAUAUAUGACCUAGUUUUUUAUAUAGUUUUUAUUUAUAACUAGUACGCGCAUGCCCUUACAAUUAGUUAUGAAAAAGAAAUAGUGUACGUAACAAGGCAUUUUUUCGGAAAUUAACUACCCUGUUAUUCGGAUGAUACCUAUAUAUAGAUAAAGAUAAAUAUAAAUAAUUUUACCUUGAAAGAAAGGCCGUCACAAAGGGAAGAAGCCAAAAAAAGACAACCUUUUGCCUUUAAAGUCGACAUUAUAUUCCAAUUAAAAUUGGCUUAUAUUAGCACUAUAUUUGAAGUAUUUUUAAAUCU